GACGAACGCUGGCGGCGUGCCUAAUACAUGCAAGUAGAACGCUGAAGGAGGAGCUUGCUCUUCUGGAUGAGUUGCGAACGGGUGAGUAACGCGUAGGUAACCUGCCUGGUAGCGGGGGAUAACUAUUGGAAACGAUAGCUAAUACCGCAUAAGAGUAGAUGUUGCAUGACAUUUGCUUAAAAGGUGCAAUUGCAUCACUACCAGAUGGACCUGCGUUGUAUUAGCUAGUUGGUGGGGUAACGGCUCACCAAGGCGACGAUACAUAGCCGACCUGAGAGGGUGAUCGGCCACACUGGGACUGAGACACGGCCCAGACUCCUACGGGAGGCAGCAGUGGGGAAUCUUCGGCAAUGGACGGAAGUCUGACCGAGCAACGCCGCGUGAGUGAAGAAGGUUUUCGGAUCGUAAAGCUCUGUUGUAAGAGAAGAACAGGUGUGAGAGUGGAAAGUUCACACUGUGACGGUAUCUUACCAGAAAGGGACGGCUAACUACGUGCCAGCAGCCGCGGUAAUACGUAGGUCCCGAGCGUUGUCCGGAUUUAUUGGGCGUAAAGCGAGCGCAGGCGGUUAGAUAAGUCUGAAGUUAAAGGCUGUGGCUUAACCAUAGUACGCUUUGGAAACUGUUUAACUUGAGUGCAAGAGGGGAGAGUGGAAUUCCAUGUGUAGCGGUGAAAUGCGUAGAUAUAUGGAGGAACACCGGUGGCGAAAGCGGCUCUCUGGCUUGUAACUGACGCUGAGGCUCGAAAGCGUGGGGAGCAAACAGG
rnacentral:rRNA from 1 species